AUGAACGCUGGCGGCGUGCUUAACACAUGCAAGUCGAACGAUGAUGCCCACUUGUGGGUGGAUUAGUGGCGAACGGGUGAGUAACACGUGAGUAACCUGCCCUUGACUCUGGGAUAAGCCUGGGAAACUGGGUCUAAUACCGGAUAUGACCUUCCAUCGCAUGGUGGUUGGUGGAAAGCUUUUGUGGUUUUGGAUGGACUCGCGGCCUAUCAGCUUGUUGGUGGGGUAAUGGCCUACCAAGGCGACGACGGGUAGCCGGCCUGAGAGGGUGACCGGCCACACUGGGACUGAGACACGGCCCAGACUCCUACGGGAGGCAGCAGUGGGGAAUAUUGCACAAUGGGCGGAAGCCUGAUGCAGCGACGCCGCGUGAGGGAUGACGGCCUUCGGGUUGUAAACCUCUUUCAGUAGGGAAGAAGCGUAAGUGACGGUACCUGCAGAAGAAGCGCCGGCUAACUACGUGCCAGCAGCCGCGGUAAUACGUAGGGCGCAAGCGUUAUCCGGAAUUAUUGGGCGUAAAGAGCUCGUAGGCGGUUUGUCGCGUCUGCCGUGAAAGUCCGGGGCUCAACUCCGGAUCUGCGGUGGGUACGGGCAGACUAGAGUGAUGUAGGGGAGACUGGAAUUCCUGGUGUAGCGGUGAAAUGCGCAGAUAUCAGGAGGAACACCGAUGGCGAAGGCAGGUCUCUGGGCAUUAACUGACGCUGAGGAGCGAAAGCAUGGGGAGCGAACAGGAUUAGAUACCCUGGUAGUCCAUGCCGUAAACGUUGGGCACUAGGUG
rnacentral:rRNA from 1 species